rnacentral:rRNA from 1 species
AGUCACUGACAUUAGAUACCCCUGUAGUCCAGGGUGUAAACGCUGCAGACUUGGUGUUGGAAGCCCUUUGGGGGCAUUCAGUGCCGGAGAGAAGCUGUUAAGUCUGCUACUUGGGGAGUACGUCCGCAAGGAUGAAACUUAAAGGAAUUGGCGGGGGAGCACCGCAACGGGAGGAGCGUGCGGUUUAAUUGGAUUCAACACUGUAAAACUCACCAGGGAAGACUGUUACAUGAAGGCCGAGAUGAAGACUCUGCUAGAUUUUCAG